rnacentral:rRNA from 1 species
CCUACGGGUGGCAGCAGUGAGGAAUAUUGGUCAAUGGGCGCGAGCCGGAACCAGCCAAGGAGCGUGAAGGAUGACUGCCCUACGGGUUGUAAACUUCUUUUAUAAAGGAAUAAAGUGAGGCACGUGUGCCUUUUUGCAUGUACCUUAUGAAUAAGGAUCGGCUAACUCCGUGCCAGCAGCCGCGGUAAUACGGAGGAUCCGAGCGUUAUCCGGAUUUAUUGGGUUUAAAGGGAGCGUAGGUGGGUUGUUAAGUCAGUUGUGAAAGUUUGCGGCUCAACCGUAGAAUUGCAGUUGAUACUGGGAGUCUUGAGUGCAGUUGAGGUAGGCGGAAUUCGUGGUGUAGCGGUGAAAUGCUUAGAUAUCACGAAGAACCCCGAUUGCGAAGGCAGCUUACUAAACUGUGACUGACGUUGAUGCUCGAAAGUGUGGGUAUCAAACAGGAUUAGAUACCCGGGUAGUC